rnacentral:rRNA from 1 species
UCUCGGCAACGGAUAUCUCGGCUCUCGCAUCGAUGAAGAACGUAGCGAAAUGCGAUACUUGGUGUGAAUUGCAGAAUCCCGUGAACCAUCGAGUUUUUGAACGCAAGUUGCGCCCGAAGCCGUCAGGCCGAGGGCACGUCUGCCUGGGUGUCACGCAAC